UACGUAGGGUCCGAGCGUUUGUCCGGAAUUACUGGGCGUAAAGAGCUCGUAGGUGGUUUGUCGCGUUGUUCGUGAAAACUCACAGCUUAACUGUGGGCGUGCGGGCGUAUACGGGCAGACUGGAGUACUGCAGGGGAGACUGGAAUUCCUGGUGUAGCGGUGGAAUGCGCAGAUAGUCAGGAGGAACACCGGUGGGCGAAGGCGGGGUCUCUGGGCAGUAACUGACGUGGAGGAGCGAAAGCCGUGGGGAGCGAACAGG
rnacentral:rRNA from 1 species